UUUUAAAUUUAGAGUUUGAUCCUGGCUCAGGACGAACGCUGGCGGCGUGUUUAACACAUGCAAGUCGAGCGAUGAAGCUUCCUUCGGGAAGUGGAUUAGCGGCGGACGGGUGAGUAACACGUGGGUAACCUACCUCAAAGUGGGGGAUAGCCUCCCGAAAGGGAGAUUAAUACCGCAUAAUAUAAGAAAAUCGCAUGAUUAUCUUAUCAAAGAUUUAUCGCUUUGAGAUGGACCCGCGGCGCAUUAGCUAGUUGGUGGGGUAACAGCCUACCAAGGCAACGAUGCGUAGCCGACCUGAGAGGGUGAUCGGCCACAUUGGAACUGAGACACGGUCCAGACUCCUACGGGAGGCAGCAGUGGGGAAUAUUGCGCAAUGGGGGAAACCCUGACGCAGCAACGCCGCGUGGGUGAUGAAGGUCUUCGGAUUGUAAAGCCCUGUUUUCUGGGGCGAUAAUGACGGUACCAGAGGAGGAAGCCACGGCUAACUACGUGCCAGCAGCCGCGGUAAUACGUAGGUGGCGAGCGUUGUCCGGAUUUACUGGGCGUAAAGGGUGCGUAGGCGGAUGUUUAAGUGGGAUGUGAAAUCCCCGGGCUUAACCUGGGGGCUGCAUUCCAAACUGGAUAUCUAGAGUGCAGGAGAGGAAAGCGGAAUUCCUAGUGUAGCGGUGAAAUGCGUAGAGAUUAGGAAGAACACCAGUGGCGAAGGCGGCUUUCUGGACUGUAACUGACGCUGAGGCACGAAAGCGU
rnacentral:rRNA from 1 species